rnacentral:rRNA from 1 species
UGGGGAAUAUUGGGCAAUGGGCGAAAGCCUGACCCAGCGACGCCGCGUGGGUGAUGAAGGCCUUCGGGUUGUAAAGCCCUUUCGUGCGGAAAGAACAGUCCUGUGGCGAAUACCCGCAGGAUUUGACGGUACCGCAGGAAGAAGCACCGGCUAACUCCGUGCCAGCAGCCGCGGUAAUACGGAGGGUGCAAGCGUUGUUCGGAAUUAUUGGGCGUAAAGGGCGCGUAGGUGGUUGUGUAAGUCAGAUGUGAAAUACUUCGGCUCAACUGAAGAACUGCAUCUGAAACUACAUAGCUAGAGUACAGGAGAGGGAAACGGAAUUCCCGGUGUAGAGGUGAAAUUCGUAGAUAUCGGGAGGAACACCUGUGGCGAAGGCGGUUUCCUGGCCUGAUACUGACACUGAGGCGCGAAAGCGUGGGGAGCAAACA